rnacentral:rRNA from 1 species
GUCUAGUAUAGCAUCUAUACGGUGAACUGCGAAUGGCUCAUUAAAUCAGUUAUCGUUUAUUUGAUAGUACCUUACUACUUGGAUAACCGUGGUAAUUCUAGAGCUAAUACAUGCUAAAAACCCCGACUUCGGAAGGGGUGUAUUUAUUAGAUAAAAAACCAAUGCCCUUCGGGGCUCCUUGGUGAUUCAUAAUAACUUAACGAAUCGCAUGGCCUUGUGCCGGCGAUGGUUCAUUCAAAUUUCUGCCCUAUCAACUUUCGAUUGUAAGGUAGUGGCUUACAAUGGUUUCAACGGGUAACGGGGAAUUAGGGUUCUAUUCCGGAGAGGGAGCCUGAGAAACGGCUACCACAUCCAAGGAAGGCAGCAGGCGCGCAAAUUACCCAAUCCCGACACGGGGAGGUAGUGACAAUAAAUACUGAUACAGGGCUCUUUUGGGUCUUGUAAUUGGAAUGAGUACAAUUUAAAUCCCUUAACGAGGAACAAUUGGAGGGCAAGUCUGGUGCCAGCAGCCGCGGUAAUUCCAGCUCCAAUAGCGUAUAUUAAAGUUGUUGCAGUUAAAAAGCUCGUAGUUGAACCUUGGGCCUGGCUGGCCGGUCCGCCUCACCGCGUGCACUGGUCCGGCCGGGCCUUUCCUUCUGGGGAGCCGCAUGCCCUUUACUGGGUGUGUCGGGGAACCAGGACUUUUACUUUGAAAAAAUUAGAGUGUUCAAAGCAGGCCUAUGCUCGAAUACAUUAGCAUGGAAUAAUAGAAUAGGACGUGUGGUUCUAUUUUGUUGGUUUCUAGGACCGCCGUAAUGAUUAAUAGGGAUAGUCGGGGGCAUCAGUAUUCAAUUGUCAGAGGUGAAAUUCUUGGAUUUAUUGAAGACUAACUACUGCGAAAGC